CCAAGUGAGAUUAGCUAGUUGGUAAGGUAAAGGCUUACCAAGGCGACGAUCUCUAGCUGGUUUGAGAGGAUGAUCAGCCACACUGGGACUGAGACACGGCCCAGACUCCUACGGGAGGCAGCAGUGGGGAAUAUUGCACAAUGGGCGCAAGCCUGAUGCAGCCAUGCCGCGUGUGUGAAGAAGGCCUUCGGGUUGUAAAGCACUUUCAGUUGUGAGGAAAGGGAUGUAGUUAAUAACUGCAUUCUGUGACGUUAGCAACAGAAGAAGCACCGGCUAACUCCGUGCCAGCAGCCGCGGUAAUACGGAGGGUGCGAGCGUUAAUCGGAAUUACUGGGCGUAAAGCGUGCGUAGGCGGUUUGUUAAGCAAGAUGUGAAAGCCCCGGGCUCAACCUGGGAACUGCAUUUUGAACUGGCAGGCUAGAGUUUUGUAGAGGGUGGUGGAAUUUCCAGUGUAGCGGUGAAAUGCGUAGAGAUUGGAAGGAACAUCAGUGGCGAAGGCGGCCAC
rnacentral:rRNA from 1 species